UACGGAGGGUGCAAACGUUGCUCGGAAUCAUUGGGCGUAAAGCGCACGUAGGCGGCCUGUUAAGUCGGAUGUGAAAGCCCCGGGCUCAACCCGGGAAGUGCAUUCGAAACUGGCAGGCUUGAAUAUGGAAGAGGGUCGCGGAAUUCCCGGUGUAGAGGUGAAAUUCGUAGAGAUCGGGAAGAACACCCGUGGCGAAGGCGGUUCUCUGGGACGGUACUGACGCUGAGACGCGAAAGCGUGGGGAGCAAACAGG
rnacentral:rRNA from 1 species